rnacentral:rRNA from 1 species
CAGCAGCCGCGGUAAUACGUAGGGUGCGAGCGUUAAUCGGAAUUACUGGGCGUAAAGCGUGCGCAGGCGGUUGUGUAAGACAGGUGUGAAAUCCCCGGGCUUAACCCGGGAACUGCGCUUGUGACUGCACAGCUAGAGUAUGGCAGAGGGGGGUGGAAUUCCACGUGUAGCAGUGAAAUGCGUAGAGAUGUGGAGGAACACCGAUGGCGAAGGCAGCCCCCUGGGCCAAUACUGACGCUCAUGCACGAAAGCGUGGGGAGCAAACAGGAUUAGAUACCCGGGUAGUCCCUGUCUCUUAUAC